rnacentral:rRNA from 1 species
GAUGAACGCUAGCUACAGGCUUAACACAUGCAAGUCGAGGGGAAACGGCAUUUAGUGCUUGCACUGAAUGGACGUCGACCGGCGCACGGGUGAGUAACGCGUAUCCAACCUACCCAUUACUGUGUGAUAACCUGCCGAAAGGCAGACUAAUACCGCAUAGUCUUCGAUGACGGCAUCAGAUUUGAAGUAAAGAUUUAUCGGUAAUGGAUGGGGAUGCGUCUGAUUAGCUUGUUGGCGGGGUAACGGCCCACCAAGGCGACGAUCAGUAGGGGUUCUGAGAGGAAGGUCCCCCACAUUGGAACUGAGACACGGUCCAAACUCCUACGGGAGGCAGCAGUGAGGAAUAUUGGUCAAUGGACGAGAGUCUGAACCAGCCAAGUAGCGUGCAGGAUGACGGCCCUAUGGGUUGUAAACUGCUUUUGUGUGGGGAUAAAGUCAAUCACGUGUGAUUGUUUGCAGGUACCAUACGAAUAAGGACCGGCUAAUUCCGUGCCAGCAGCCGCGGUAAUACGGAAGGUCCGGGCGUUAUCCGGAUUUAUUGGGUUUAAAGGGAGCGUAGGCUGGAGAUUAAGUGUGUUGUGAAAUGUAGACGCUCAACGUCUGACUUGCAGCGCAUACUGGUUUCCUUGAGUACGCACAACGUUGGCGGAAUUCGUCGUGUAGCGGUGAAAUGCUUAGAUAUGACGAAGAACUCCGAUUGCGAAGGCAGCUGACGGGAGCGCAACUGACGCUUAAGCUCGAAGGUGCGGGUAUCGAACAGG